rnacentral:lncRNA from 1 species
AUCACUAACAUACUGAGUCAUUCCUGGCAUGAAAACAAGUACACUCUGGAGGGUGCACACACACACACACACACAUACACACACACACACACACACACUCCAUAAUACAGGACACUUAGGAGACGCUGGAACGUAGACUUCCCAAGUGGUCUUUAUUCUUAUGCCGCCUAUGUUUUACAUGGGCUCCUCUGAGCUGAUGUUGCAAGCUGGGCUUUAGAGGAACCUAGCUUUUCUUGGUUUUCCUGAGCCAAGAUGUGGGUGCUAUGUGGUUGAGGUCUCCUGUCCCUCACAGGGAUGUUGGGCUAUGAGGUAGGCUGUGGCGUGCAGCCCUUUGUUUAUCUGCAGCUCUCGGGCUGGUUUCACUAGCCAUGAGCACUGAGGACAGACUUCUGCAUCUGGCCUUAGCCAUAGAUGCCUCCCUUUGGGGACCAUUCCAGGAUGUGGUCCCCGGGUAGAUGUGCUCAGAAGGAAGCAGAAAGAUGUUCUGAGAAACCCAGGCAGUGGGGUUUGGGAACCAGUAGCUCCCCUAAACUAACAAGAAGUCAGGGUUUCUCUGUCUAGUCCUGGCUAUUUUGUAACUAGCUCUGUAGACCAGGCUGGUCUGGAACACACAGAGAUACACUUGCCAGUGUCUCCCUAGUGCUGGGAUUAAAGACCAGUGUCACCACCCCUGGUUAGAACUGAAUUUCUUUAUGCAUAUGCUAAUUCUGGUUCUCAGACUUGUCUCCUUUGUACCAUGGCUUGCAGGCAAAGACGCAGGUCUUUUUCUCUCACCAGUAGGCUUGUUGGUGUGCGUUUCACCACUGAAAGUGAAGGAUUCACUGGGCUUGCUUUGUCUAUUGUGAGUUUCUUCCCAUUCUCUUUAUCUAGCUCCAACUUUUCUCUUUAGUGUUGCAAUUACAGCCAAGUGUCACCACACCUGGCCAGUUCAUCUGCCAGUGGACAUUGGAGUGGCUUCUGCUCUGAUUGCUGUGAAUACUGCUGCCUUGAGCAGGAGUGUGAAGUACUGGUGUGGGCUUACAUUUCAUUUCUCUUGGGCAAAUACCUGGGAGUGGAGUUGUUAGAGCAAACGGUUGGAGUCUGUAUUAAAGCAGCACUGCUUUGCUUUAAAAAUAAGUCAGCCCUGUUACCCACCCCCUCCCUGCCCACGGCUCCCGCUCAGUCAGCUGCUCCCUUCCAUGUGCUGUUGGCUUCCAAGAGUCUGGAAGGCAGGUUCAUGCUGUCUCUUCUUUUUAACUUUAUGCUAAGGAAUUCUUAGGAUGGAGUCUGCUUUCUGAUGCCAUCCUCUUACCUUACUCAAUACAACUAUUAAAAUCUUUGUUAAAAUCAAUACACAGUUUUGAAGGUUUUGUUUUAUGAGAGUAGUAAAUGUCCUCUUCCCAGCUGAGAUCCAUAAUCCUUUGAGAUGGCUUGAUUUCACGGCCUUAUUGGGGAAUGAAGCAUCAGCUGCAGAUAUUAGAGUAUAAUGUGUGAGGAGUUUCCUGUGUGUACGAUGGUGAGCCUGUCCAUUCCUUCCAUAGUCAGGCCUCCCCCUAUCCUUGUCCCACCCUCAGGUAACCACUCAUCAGCUCUCUGUGCCAUCAAUCGAAGGUCUAUGUAAAUGUGGUGCUACCAGGGGCUCCGUAGGCUCCAUCGCCUGGCCCCUCUUUUAGGCCAUGUCGUACUGUCUGUCGGGUGGCACAGCUCAGUAUACCCUCACCUGUGAGCUGCUCCUGGUUGGGGUUAUUUCCAAAUUCACAUUUAUUUAAUUAAUGAUGUUCAACAUCUUUUCACGUGCUUAGUUGUCACUUACCUUUAGUAAAAUGUAAACCAGGCAUGGUAGCUUAGUUGUCACUUACCUUUAGUAAAAUGUAAACCAGGCAUGGUGGCACGCACCUUUAAUCCCAGCAGUUGGGAGACAGAAGCAGGCAGGUUUCAGAGAGUUUGAGGCCAGCCUGGUCUACAAAGUGCAUUUCAGUACAGCCAGGGCUACACAGAGUAAAUCCUGUCUUG